CGUUAGAGAAUUGAGAGGACCUUUCCCUAGUACGAGAGGACCGGGAAGGACGCACCCCUGGUGUACCAGUUAUCGUGCCCACGGUAAACGAUGGGUAGCCAAGUGCGGAGCGGAUAACUGUUGAAAGCAACUAAGUUGUAAGCCUACCCCAAGAUGAGUGCUCUCCUAUUUCGACUUCCCUAGAGCCUUCGGUAGCACAGCCGAGACAUCGAUGGGUUCUUUGCCCCUGCGGGGAUGGAGCGAAAGAAGUUUUGAGAAUUCAACAGAAGGUCACAGUGAGACGAGUCGUUUCUCAUUAAUGAUAGGUGUCAAGUGGAAGUGCAAUGAUGUAUGCAGCGGAGGCAUCCUAACUGACCGG